UAGCUAUGUACGGAAUGGAUAAGCGCUGAAAGCAUCUAAGCGCGAAGUCAACUUCAAGAUAAGAUUUCCCACCGCAAGGGUAAGACCCCAGAAAGACUAUCUGGUUGAUAGGUCGAAGGUGUAAGUGCAGCAAUGUAUUUAGCUUAUCGAUACUAAUAGGUCGAGGACUUGACCAA
rnacentral:rRNA from 1 species